rnacentral:rRNA from 1 species
AUGCAACAACACACACGCACGCGCACACACACACAACAACACGCACGCGCACGUGCACACACACACACGCAACAACACACACGCGCACGUGCACACACACACGCACAGCAGCAGCAGCACACACGCAGGCAACACAUAGGCAUGCAACAGCACACACGCGCGCGCACGUACACACGCAAUAGCAAACACACACAGCAGCACACAUGCACACACACAUGCAGCAGCAGCAUCACACAUGUGCGUGUGCACCCACACACGCAACAGCACACACGGGCGUACACACACAUACCGCAUGAGGGGCAAAAUCGUUUUUUCAGGUGUCAUUUAGGUUCAAAAUGGACGAAAGUGUCGUAUAGGGAAUAA